rnacentral:tRNA from 1 species
ACCCGGGUGCUGAAAUUGGUAGACAGGCUACGUUGAGGUCGUAGUGCAUUACGUGCGUGUGAGUUCGACUCUCAUCCCGGGUA